GAUGAACGCUAGCUACAGGCUUAACACAUGCAAGUCGAGGGACCGGCGCACGGGUGAGUAACCCGUAUCCAACCUUCCCUUUACUCGGGGAUAGCCUUUCGAAAGAAAGAUUAAUACCCGAUAUAAAGGAUGGGGAUGCGUUGCAUUAGGGUGGUGGUGAGGUAACGGCUCACCAAGCCUUCGAUGGAUAGGGGUUAUGAGAGGAAGGUCCACAAGAUUGGAACCGAGACAAGGUCCAAACUCGGACGGGAGGCAGAAGUGAAGAAUAUUGGUCAAGGGGCGGUAGCCUGAACCAGCCAAGUAAAGUGGAGGAUGAAGGCUUAUGGGUCGUAAACUUCUUUUAUAUAAGAAUAUGUAUUAUAUGAAUAAGGAUCGGCUAACUCCGUGCCAGCAGCCGCGGUAAUUC
rnacentral:rRNA from 1 species